rnacentral:tRNA from 1 species
GCCCUCUUGGCUUAGUGGUAAAGCGUAUCACUAGUAUUGAUUGCUAUGAUAAGAUCGCUCGUUCGAUUCGGGCAGAGGGCA